rnacentral:rRNA from 1 species
UCCUCCAAGGCUAAAUACUCCUGACUGACCGAUAGUGAACCAGUACCGUGAGGGAAAGGCGAAAAGAACCCCGGCGAGGGGAGUGAAAAAGAACCUGAAACCGUGUACGUACAAGCAGUGGGAGCACAGGUUUACCUGUGUGACUGCGUACCUUUUGUAUAAUGGGUCAGCGACUUAUAUUCUGUAGCAAGGUUAACCGCAUAGGGGAGCCGGAGGGAAACCGAGUCUUAAUUGGGCGUUAAGUUGCAGGGUAUAGACCCGAAACCCGGUGAUCUAGCCAUGGGCAGGUUGAAGGUUGGGUAACACUAACUGGAGGACCGAACCGAC